GCAGCGGAGCGUGUGGUUUUAAUUCGAUGCCACACGAAGAACCUUACCAGGGUUUGACAUACAAGUAGUAGGGAAAGGAAACUGGACCGACCUUCGGGGAGCUUGUACAGGUGCUGCAUGGCUGUCGUCAGCUCGUGUCGUGAGAUGUUCGGUUAAGUCCGCUAACGAGCGCAACCCUUGCCAUUAGUUGCUACGAAAGGGCACUCUAAUGGGACUGCCGGUGACAAACCGGAGGAAGGUGGGGAUGACGUCAAGUCCUCAUGGCCUUUAUGCCCAGGGCUACACACGUGCUACAAUGGGUGGUACAACGAGUUGCGAGUCGGUGACGGCGAGCUAAUCUCUUAAAGCCAAUCUCAGUUCGGAUUGUAGGCUGCAACUCGCCUACAUGAAGUCGGAAUCGCUAGUAAUCGCGGAUCAGCACGCCGCGGUGAAUACGUUCCCGGGCCUU
rnacentral:rRNA from 1 species